CUCCUCUCUAAUUUGUUCAGACAUUGUGGUGUGUCUGGCCAUAUCAUUUGUCAUAGGUGUAAAAACAAUCACAACCAAAGCUUAAAGCUGUUGGGAUGAGCAGCUGCCUGGGAAUCACGCUCCUUCCUGCUCUUUCCAAAAAGCCAGGUGCCGCCGGCCAGCAUCCCGCUCCCUUUGACCCGCAGUCUGUGCGGGAAGUAGGCCCGGAGUGGUGCCAGCAGGAGGUGGCCUUAGAAAGGCGGAGACCCAAGGAGCAGAGUGAGUCGGCGUCCAGCUCCACCUGAAAGCGCCAUCUUGUCGCCACUUCCCUCAGGAGCAGCAUGCCCAGCCUCUUGCAUAGGAAGAAGUGGUAAGCUAAGGAGAGAAAUGCAGGGUUCCUAGUACACCAAUUUUCCAACUUUUUCAUCUUGGCCCUGCUUUAAAAUGAUGCAUCUACUGUCUUCAUGCCUCAGCACAGCAGAGAAAACCAUGCUGUGUUCCAGUUUACUUUGAAUGUUUCAGUGAAAAUGAUGAAGCUGAAAAAAUGACGGAGGCCCGUUUUACAUUGCAUUUCUCAGAGUCAUCGCCUCUGCUGCAGAUGGAACAACAGCCAUGGAGAAUGAGGGUCACCUGAAUGUGGAAAAGUUGAGUUGGAGCAAAACUGGCACGGCCAUACUGGAUGGACCUCAGCAUGACCAGGACACAUUUCAGCUCAAAUCCCCUGUGCCAAGAACACAUUCUGCCAAGGACCACCACCUCUUCCCACAACUGUGAGUGGAUUUAUGUCAUCACAGGAGGUGCAAAAACGUGUGGUGAGGUAAAUGAAUUGGGAUGUCCUUGGCUGCCUGAGCAAGAGGGCAACUUUCCUGCCUUUAGAAUAGAGAAAACACAGCAGGAUAAUUAAGAGGAUGAGACUUUGGUUCCAACAGACAGUGGCUUCUCCUUCCCUAAAUUGCCCUUAUUUUGUAGUAAGUUAUAAUAUGUUUAUUUUCUACCACCUUAUUACUUCACUACGUGAACCAAAAAUAAAAUCCUAAAGCCAAC
rnacentral:lncRNA from 1 species